rnacentral:rRNA from 1 species
GACGAACGCUGGCGGCGUGCCUAAUACAUGCAAGUUGAGCGAUGAAGCUUGGUGCUUGCACCAAUUUGGAGAGCAGCGAACGGGUGAGUAACGCGUGGGGAAUCUGCCUUUGAGCGGGGGACAACAUUUGGAAACGAAUGCUAAUACCGCAUAACAACUUUAAACAUAAGUUUUAAGUUUGAAAGAUGCAAUUGCAUCACUCAAAGAUUAUCCCGCGUUGUAUUAGCUAGUUGGUGAGGUAAAGGCUCACCAAGGCGAUGAUACAUAGCCGACCUGAGAGGGUGAUCGGCCACAUUGGGACUGAGACACGGCCCAAACUCCUACGGGGGGCAGCAGUAGGGAAACUUCGGCAAUGGACGAAAGUCUGACCGAGCAACGCCGCGGGAGGGAAGAAGGUUUUCGGAUCGUAAAACUCUGUUGGUAGAGAAGAACGUUGGUGGGAGUGGAAAGCUCAUCACGUGACGGUAACUACCCAGAAAGGGACGGCUAACUACGUG